rnacentral:lncRNA from 1 species
CAAAGAAGAUGGAAUGGAUGAAGGAAUGUGAAAAUGGAGAGGAAAUGGUGAGACAAGGAGAUGAAAUGGAUGAAGGAAUGUGAAUGUAUGGGAAAAUGAAAACUAAGGAAAAUGGAGAGGAAAUGUGAGACAAGAGAUGAAAUGGAUGAAGGAAUGUGUUUAGAAUGAGAGGAGAAGGUGUUUAUAUAGGGAAGAAAAAGAAGAGUGAAAUGAUGAGUGGAAGAAAAAUAAUGAAAGUGGAGUAUGAAAGUGAUUUGUAGAAUAUGGAAAAGAAAGAGAAAUGAUGAAAUGAAAGCAAAGCAUGAAGGUGCAGCAACAUGGAAGUGAUGAUGAUCUAUUAAAGAGAUUGUAGAAAAAAUAUAUCCAAGGAAAAAGAGAAAAGCAUCUAGCUUUCUUCAUGUGGGUGGGAAACAUGAACAUGUGAUAUUGAGCUGGUUUUAG